CCCUGAGAAAACAAGUGGGCAGUCCAGCUCUCCCAGCAGUGAGUGCAGACACCAUGCACCCUGGGCAGGGGGACGGGGCAUCUCACCACUGGGACGUCCUUGGAACUCUAGUGCAUUCACCCUUGGCCGGAUGUGGGGCCCAGCCAGCCCACUCCCAGGAUUCAGCUCAUCCUGCUCCAACCUUAUGCCAUUGAAGCACAAAUUCUGAAAACUUUGGGAAAUCCUGGGAGGCGUCCCCUGGGUGGUCACUACAAAGGUCCUGGAAAAAGAGAAGGAAAAGAAACGACCUUUACGUGACUUGAGCACAACGGGCAUUAGAAGGGAAGCCGUUCUGCACAGCAGUGAGGCAUCUGGGUGUUCCCAGGAUUCACAGAGGGGGAGACCACGCCAAAGUCCUGGGCGAGAAGAACUGAAUGCGGGCCCUCGUGCGUGAGAAUAGAUACAGAGGUUCUGCCAGCCCCUCAGACACCAGUCUCAUCUCAGCACUGUCUUCACACACAAACUGGGUUCUUUCAUUCCAUCCUAUCCUCGAAGUGCAGGCUGUAGUGUGGCAAGAGACUAAGACACGUUAUCACCUGUGGAGCUGGAGCAAGAGUUGACCCCAGGGACUCAGAGCUUGGUGUCCUGCCCUGAGCAGCCAAACACACUGUGUCCCAGUUCUGAAGCCGCUGCUCCUGAGCUCCUCAAGUCAGCACCUUUUGGUCCUAGCAUCCGGCACUCCCUCCCUCAUGACCUCACCUCUGCCCUGUGUUUUCUGCAGUCCAUAUCUCUGCCCUGGACUCUGGACUUGACUGUCUAACUAUGGGCAUCUCUGCUUGCUUUCUGGUGGGCUCUGAAAUGGCCUGUGCAGAGCAGAAACUGCCUAAAGAGGGGUCUCUUCCUCUACACUGCACCCUGGUCUGCCCUCCCACCGACUGUCCUCCUCACCCCUGACUCCAUCUGGCCUGGAGGCCGCAGCCCAUCUCCUCUGGCCCCCAUCUUCUGCUUUGCACAGAGCAAUCAGAGUGGGCUUUGAAAUGUCAACCAGUGCGGGACCCCAGCUCUCUCAAGCCCAUAGGCCCUACCACUGUGCCCACCUGCUCUGGGCAGGCUUUUCUUCCCACUCCUCAAACCAGACAGAGCAGACCCAGUCUGCGCGUCUCUGCCUCCCUCUGCCUCGGGUCCCCUUCCCCACUUCUAAAAGUGUUUUUUUCCCCCCACAUUUAGUUCUAGCUAAACUGCCAUUUUCUCAAAGAGAAUUUCCUACCUUUCUGCUUAUUUAUCUGCCUAAGUUUUCUGUCUAAUCACUAGCCACCCCCUGCAAUCGUAAUGAAUUAUUGAAUUAAUCUUAUUCCUUACUGUCAUACCUCCUCAGUGAAUGAAAAAGCGGUGGCAGGAAGGGCUUUGCCUAGAGCCACUCCUGGGACAUGGAGGCCUUCGGUGAAGACUUGCUCAGACUGAGUCCCUCUCCCUGCCACACUGUUUGUGCCUGAAAUCAGGAAUUUGCUGGCCUAAUCUUUGUUCCUGGCACAUCCCAAGCCCUCGACAAAUGCAUGUUAAAUACAUAAAUGAAUAUAUAAAGAGCAUCAUUCACUAUUGUCCCUUCUUGUUAAAGUUUUUCUAAAGAGCUCUAUCCAAAUGGCUUUCACAUUACAUUCUUUUUGUCCAGGUCACCACUUCAGCUUUAUGAGUGACUGCUUGCUGAAAGCUCAUUAGCAAGAUUGCCUUUAAGUUUUAAGAACACACAAUCUCUGAAGCCUAAUAAAUUUCUUUCAAGACACAUGAAUCAGAUCCCAUGUUUCUGAGGAGAUACGCAGCCCACGCUGGGCCCUUAGGCGUGCAGGGCUCAUCCGGAACUUACUGAGUGAGCAAGAAAAUAACAUGCAGCCUCUCCCUCCUCAACUGCAUGUGUGGGAAGGUCACUCCCCAGAGGGCACAGGAGGCCAGGGGCUCUAUUCAGAUCCUUGGGCUUUUCAGUUAAUGCACUAGUGAGAGUGAAAUGGCGUUCUAGGCAGAGGGCAGAGCAGGGG